rnacentral:rRNA from 1 species
GAUGAACGCUAGCGGCAGGCCUAACACAUGCAAGUCGAGGGGUAGAACACUUCGGUGUUUGAGACCGGCGCACGGGUGCGUAACGCGUAUGCAAUCUACCUUAUACAGGGGAAUAGCCCAGAGAAAUUUGGAUUAAUGCCCCAUAGCAUUACGACUUGGCAUCAAGAUGUAAUUAAAGUUCCAACGGUAUAAGAUGAGCAUGCGUCCCAUUAGUUAGUUGGUAAGGUAACGGCUUACCAAGACGAUGAUGGGUAGGGGUCCUGAGAGGGAGAUCCCCCACACUGGUACUGGGACACGGACCAGACUCCUAGGGGAGGCAGCAGUGAGGAAUAUUGGUCAAUGGUCGCAAGACUGAACCAGCCAUGCCGCGGGCAGGAAGACGGUCCUAUGAAUUGUAAACUGCUUUUAUACAGGAAGAAACCCUCCCACGGGUGGGAGCUUGACGGUACUGUAGGAAUAAGGAUCGGCUAACUCCGUGCCAGCCGCCGCCGUAA